GUCUUUUAGAAAAUAAUUUAAAGUCUCGCCUGCCCACUGAAAAUUUAAAUGGCCGCGGUAUUCUGACCGUGCAAAGGUAGCAUAAUCAUUAGUUUUUUAAUUGAAAGCUGGUAUGAAUGGUUGGAUAAGAAAAAAUCUGUCUCAAAUUAAUUUUAUUAGAAUUUUAUUUUUAAGUUAAAAAGCUUAAAUUUAUUUAAAAGACGAGAAGACCCUAUAGAGUUUUAUAUAGUUAUAUAAAUGGAUUGAUUAGAAUAAAUUAAUUUGUUUAUAAAAUUAUAUUUAAUUGGGGUGAUUGAAAAAUUUAAAAAACUUUUUUUAUAUCUAAACAUUAAUUUAUGAAUAAAUGAUCCAUUAUGAGUGAUUAAAAGAAUAAAUUACCUUAGGGAUAACAGCGUAAUUUUUUCAUAGAGUUCAAAUCGAAGAAAGAGAUUGCGACCUCGAUGUUGGAUUAAAAUUAAUUUUUGGUGUAGGAGCUGAAAUAUUAGGUCUGUUCGACCUUUAAAAUUUUACA
rnacentral:rRNA from 1 species